AUGAACGAAAAUUUAUUCACUUCAUUCAUUACCCCCACAAUUCUAGGCCUACCUGCUGCAGUACCAAUCAUCCUAUUUCCCCCCUUACUGGUUCCAAUUUCCAAAUACCUCAUCAACAACUGACUAAUCACUACCCAACAAUGACUAAUCCAACUCAUCUUAAAACAAAUAAUAAUGAUACAUAACAUUAAGGGACGAACCUGGUCCCUUAUACUAAUCUCCCUAAUUAUUUUUAUUGCCGCAACUAAUUGUGUUCAGUUG
rnacentral:lncRNA from 1 species